AGAGAGCUUGCUCUCUUGGCGGCGAGUGGCGGACGGGUGAGUAAUAUAUCGGAACGUGCCCAGUAGCGGGGGAUAACUACUCGAAAGAGUGGCUAAUACCGCAUACGCCCUACGGGGGAAAGGGGGGGAUCGCAAGACCUCUCACUAUUGGAGCGGCCGAUAUCGGAUUAGCUAGUUGGUGGGGUAAAGGCUCACCAAGGCAACGAUCCGUAGCUGGUUUGAGAGGACGACCAGCCACACUGGGACUGAGACACGGCCCAGACUCCUACGGGAGGCAGCAGUGGGGAAUUUUGGACAAUGGGGGAAACCCUGAUCCAGCCAUCCCGCGUGUAUGAUGAAGGCCUUCGGGUUGUAAAGUACUUUUGGCAGAGAAGAAAAGGUAUCCCCUAAUACGGGAUACUGCUGACGGUAUCUGCAGAAUAAGCACCGGCUAACUACGUGCCAGCAGCCGCGGUAAUACGUAGGGUGCAAGCGUUAAUCGGAAUUACUGGGCGUAAAGCGUGUGUAGGCGGUUCGGAAAGAAAGAUGUGAAAUCCCAGGGCUCAACCUUGGAACUGCAUUUUUAACUGCCGAGCUAGAGUAUGUCAGAGGGGGGUAGAAUUCCACGUGUAGCAGUGAAA
rnacentral:rRNA from 2 species